rnacentral:rRNA from 1 species
AUUGAACGCUGGCGGAAUGCUUUACGCAUGCAAGUCGAACGGUAGAGGGGGCAACCCCUCGAGAGUGGCGAACGGGUGAGUAAUAUAUCGGAACGUGCCCAGUCGUGGGGGAUAACGUAGCGAAAGUUACGCUAAUACCGCAUACGAUCUCAGGAUGAAAGCGGGGGAUCGCAAGACCUCGCGCGAUUGGAGCGGCCGAUAUCAGAUUAGGUAGUUGGUGGGGUAAAGGCUCACCAAGCCAACGAUCUGUAGCUGGUCUGAGAGGACGACCAGCCACACUGGAACUGAGACACGGUCCAGACUACUACGGGAGGCAGCAGUGGGGAAUUUUGGACAAUGGACGCAAGUCUGAUCCAGCCAUUCCGCGUGCAGGAUGAAGGCCCUCGGGUUGUAAACUGCUUUUGUACGGAACGAAAAGGUCUCUCUUAAUACGGGGGGCUCAUGACGGUACCGUAAGAAUAAGCACCGGCUAACUACGUGCCAGCCGCCGCCGUAA